UUCGCUCCCGGAGGCGGUGCUGCCGCUGGCUGAGUGGCGUCCUCAGGCGCCCUCGGGUGGGGCGGUCUUGGCGUCGUGAGGUCGGGGUCAAUUCGGGAUCUGUGUUGCUGCAUCUCGGUUGGCCGCGUACCUGAGCUGCGGUGAACUUGGCGUCCUGCGGGGCAGCUCUCCGACACAGGGCUUUCUAGAGCGUGCCCCGGGGCUCCAGGGUUGGGCUAGGAAAGAGCCCCUGCACGCGGGGCUCUCACCGUCCUGAAGGCUCCCUCCCAGGAAAAUUCUUGCAGAGGCCAUCUUCCCUCCCUGCACUAUCCGAGCCCGGUCCCAACUUACUUUUUUCAUCGUGCUUCCCUCAGGACACCCACCUCCUCUCCUGCCGGCCGCCAGGUUCCCCAAGGUGGAUCUGCAGUGAGACCUCUACCGUGACUCGCGGUUGCAGGCGUUAUUUCUCUCCUUCCUGACAGAAGGUGGCAGGCUGCUGCUGGCCCUCAUUCAGGUGUCUGGAGAGUCACAGAUGUGACUUCUGAGUGAAUUUACUGCAGAGCGAGCUGAGGAUUCCCACGAACUCUGCGUGAAUGACCAGCGAGUCCACCUCUUCCACCUCCUCUACCGGCUUGGCAGCGCCAAGUACAGUGUGAGCACCGACUCAGCAGACCUGUGGAAAAUAGAGAACUCUGCCCAGUGGAACUCACUCUGGAAGGGGAGAGAGAACUGGCCCUUGGACAAUUCCAGUGCAAUAUGCCACAGCUUCCACUGUCAAGUGGCCCCGGUUAAGCAUUUGUUUGUCAAAUGCAAUGACCCUGUGAGUUAGAUAUCACCUUCAUUUCAGCCAGGAGGACUCUGAGGCUCAAGAGGUGGGACUUAGGAGGUUGUGUAUGCAUUUUUGUGUGCAUUUUUGUGUUCUCCACGUGCCCGGCACACUGCCCACUGCACAGCUGCUGAUCAUUUAGGCAGUGAUGAUUACCAGUUCAUGAACCAGGCUGUGAGAAUCAGUCUCCCGGCCAAGGCCACCAGCCACUGGGUAUUGUCCCCACCGGAAAAGUGUCUUGGCUCUGCUCUGGUCUCUACUUGUUUACAAGGAGUAGAAUUGGGUUAGACCUUGUGAAACCCAUGCAUCAACUUCUCAGUCAUCACCUGUUUUCAUUUUAAAUGACUGAAGUCCUUUGCCAUUCCCUUCACUUUCUAAUCAACCCUAGUGUUUCCUCAAAACCAAUUGGGGUUCUCAAGCCCUCUGGGACCUCUGUUUUCACUGGCUUUUUUUUAUGAAGCAAUAGAAAUUUAACUUCAGAACUUCUGGUUGAAAUCUAAGGAUAACACCGUGGAUAUUUUAUUCUAUAGAUCGCCAGGUCCUCAACGUUGACAGAAAAGCAAAGAGGAACAGGAGGGCAGACUGUGUUUCCCAGUGGACUGUGGGAGGGCCCCUGACCCAGAAGACAAGGUCCAGGUGGCUUCCUCGGUGUCAGGUGGAAAAGGUGAGAGCUUCAGGGUCAGAAGGGAGCUCCAUGGAGGAGGAGGUGUGGGAGAGAGAGAGAUUUUACAGCCUUUGCAGUGCAAAGCACUGUGUUGCAUCUUCUUACACAAGAGCCUGAAUUCUUCUUCAAGACCUCUGGGGCUGAUUUAUUUUAUAUUUUGUUAUUUAUUCUAUUUUUGCUUCAACCCUCAAAAUUAGACUUCAAGGCACUGCAGUUAUAGUCUGGCUACCUAAAUUGAUCUGAAUACCAAAACACAUUUCAGUUGAUCUCAGGGCAUUGGAGCAGUUGAUUUUCUUCCCAAAGUGAAGUACCAUGGAGUAGCCCAGGAAAGAAACUGAGCAAUGAUUCCGUCCUUCUGUCGAGGUGGUCCAGGCCGCACCUGCAUCAGAAGAUCAGUCCCUGGGCCACAGUAGGACGUGCUGAAUCAGACUGUCUGAGGACAGAGUUUGAGAAUUUGCCGUUUUAAUGAGCUCUCAACAGCUACAUAAGCACUAAAAUUAGACAACACCUUCUCUAGGCCACCAUUUUUAUCACGUGGUUUAGGACAUGGAAGGCGGAAGGAAGGCUGAGACCACUAGAGGGCAGGAGCUUCAGGCUGACUCUGCUGCUCCCCAGGCUGAAGGGCCCUCCGGCCUUGCUCAGAUGGCCUCACGUUUCCGUGGUUGUUUCUUCAUAGCACACAAAAAGCAGAGUCUUCUCCUGAAAGGAGGAAAAGAUGAACUGAUGACCGCGUUCAAAAACCUACGUCCAGGAAUUUCCCAUCGUGGCUCAGGGGUAAUGAGCCUGACUAGCAUCCAUGAGGAUGCAGGCUUCCUUUGCAUAAUCCUCUGUAAACUCUUUUAGAUAUCCUUCUGUUGGAAAGCAAGACCACAGCUUCCUGUUCCUACAAAGCAUUCCUGCAGGAAAGGGUUCCUGUUACAGGGGGUCCCGCUGAGCUGUCAGUUGUGGUUAGCGACCUGGGAUGCAGGAGGUGGGCAGUGUUUCCUGGAGGGAUGACUCUGUUCUUGGCCCCCCCUCUCCAUGAAGUGGAUCUCAGCAGUUCAGUGUGUCACGGGGUUAAAUCCAAUCUGCCACCCACGCCUGGAGAGUUUGAUGAUGGUUUUGUGGGGAGACAAGUAAGGCUUGAAAUGACACAUUCUAAAGCAAAGCUGCCUCCAAACUGGCUUCCGGUCCUGCUCACGUCCUCUCCCAGACCUGAAGACCCGCCCUCGCGCUUGUCUCCCUCUCUGGUUCUCUCCUGGUCUUCUCUCCAAAUCCUGUCCCGGGAGCUCCCAUUCCAUCUGUUUUCUCUAGACUGCAGGUGCUUCUCGCUUCUGGAAGGCUCGGGGGCGGGUGGGGGAGGCAGAUCAUGAAGCACAGAUGUGCCCUCUCCCUCCGUCAGUCACACGUGUGUGAGUGCCUUGUGUCAUCUGGGGCGAGCGUUUUGACAAUGGGAUGUCAUUGGCAUCCGAGCAUUUGAAGUCCGGUGAUCCCAGCCCUGUGUGCUCUGUUACACAUAUUCUCUCUUUCCAGUAGUUUCGAGUCUUUGUGGAAACAGAGAUGGUACCCACCAUCCUCCAUCCUGCAUCCCAUCCACAAUCCUAACAUCGAGAAGAAAGGGUCCCAAAACACUGCAGCAAACUCAUUUGGGAGGAAGAUCUUGACCUGAACCAUGACUAUGCUUCAGGGAUAGUCAAAAAAAUAAAAAUUUAAAAAAAAAUAUAUAUGACAUAUGGAAUUGUUUUAAUUUAUAUACUUAUUUAUUUAUUUUGGCCAUGCCCAUGGCACACGGAAGUUCCCAGGCCAGGGAUUGAACCUGCGCCAUAGCAUUGAUCAGAGCCCCAGCACUGACACCAGAUCCUUAACCAGCUGAGCUGCCAGGGAACUCCUAUGUAAAAUUUUUAUUUAUCCCACUUAGUGAGACUAUUUGUUUUACUAUGGAAAUGCCAAUGUGUUUGAUUACAGCUGCUGCCGUGGACUUUGCCAGCGCUGCUAUCAUAUGUAAGUUCUAUAGAUCUUAUUCAGCCAGAAUAGGCUGAAUUACAGAGCACCCCAAGAGUUUGAGCACCUGUACAACUUUAUGUCUCCAAGCAAGCUGGACACAAGCCCUGUGCUCUUGUGGGCUCCAUGAGACCACAUGGUCUGAGACCAACACUGUGCCCGAUUCGACACAUGUCCCCAUAAAGAUUCACCAAGUGAAUGCACGGGGCUUGUCCGUUGACAGGACUGCUCAGAUCUGUGUGGGCUUAAAUAAAUUUGCUCAUCAGUUAAGACAGAGCCCUGCGAAUGUCCUUUGAUGCCCAUGCCUCGAGAAUCUUUUUCUUUCUUUCUUUCCUUUUUUUUUUUUUAAUAUGGACUUCCGCUAUAGCCAUGGCAACACCAGAUCAUCAACCCACUGAGUGAGACCAGGGAUUGUACCCACAUCCUUACGGACGCUAUGUUGGGUUCUUAACCUGCUGAGCCACAGCGGGAACUCCUAGUCUUCAUUUUUAACAGGGGCAUUCUUUACUUCUGGUCCAUGGGCUCUUUUCUUUAAUAAUUAAAGCAGAUGUACCAGAUAUGUGAAUAGGCCACAAAUGGGCUAUUUUAGUUAGCAUGAAAUUCAAGUUAAUGCAUAUGUAAGUCAGAAGGACUUCCGUAUCUCAAUACGUGAAGAUUUCCUGUAUCAGGCUUUUUGUUCUUUCUGUUGACAUUACUCUCCAAUUGUUGUGACAGAGUUGCAGACAUGCUGACAGUCCCCAAAUGAUCUGACACAAGCUCCUUGGUAGGUGUUCUUCAGGCAGGAAGUCUCGCCCUUGCUGAUCCGAGCUGGUUCUGGAUUAGAAACCCAGGUGGGAGUAUGUUUGACAGAUCUGCCAGGAACUGCGGCAUGACUUUCCUGAUCUGGAAGAGCAAAUGUCAUACAUUUUACACAUUUGCAGGUAUUUUAAAACAGUUUUGUAAAAUGCAGACUGCACACGUGCAAUAUUGUGGGGUUACCCCAGGUUUAUCGAGACAAGAGCUCAGUGGUAUCUAUACGGAAUUCUGGGUGUGCUCUAUGACCUCUGGCCCCCCUCACCCACCGACUUCUCUCUGGUCCUCAAACUCCACUCCCCUGGGAACCCUGAUGCUGAUGGUCAACUGGUGCCUUUUAGGCUUCAUCCUCCAGGACCCAUUCCGCCCCCUGGGGCUUUGGCCAGAAUCUUUCUUCUGCUAAACCAACUCUGCCACUUCCUUCAAGAUUCAGCUCAAGGAGUUCCCGUGGUGGCUCAGUGGGUUAAGAACCUGACUAGUAUCCAUGAAGAUGCUGUUUGAUUCCUGGCCUCGCUCAGUAGGUUGAAGAUCUGGUGUUGUCACAAGCCGUGGUGUAGGCUGCAGAUGCAGCUCAGAUCCAGUGUUGCUGUGGCUGUGGUGUAAGCCUGUGGCUGCAGCUCCAAUUGACCCCUAGCCUGGGAACUUCCAUAUGCU
rnacentral:lncRNA from 1 species